GACGAACGCUGGCGGCGUGCUUAACACAUGCAAGUCGAACGAUGAAGCUAGAGUUUGCUCUGGUGAAUUAGUGGCGAACGGGUGAGUAACACGUGAGUAACCUGCCCCGAACUCUGGGAUAACUGCUGGAAACGGUAGCUAAUACUGGAUACGACCUACGAAGGCAUCUUCUGUAGGUGGAAAGAAUUUCGGUUCGGGAUGGACUCGCGGCCUAUCAGCUUGUUGGCGGGGUAAUGGCUCACAAAGGCGACGACGGGUAGCCGGCCUGAGAGGGUGACCGGCCACACUGGGACUGAGACACGGCCCAGACUCCUACGGGAGGCAGCAGUGGGGAAUAUUGCACAAUGGGCGCAAGCCUGAUGCAGCAACGCCGCGUGAGGGAUGACGGCCUUCGGGUUGUAAACCUCUUUUAGUAGGGAAGAAGCGAAAGUGACGGUACCUGCAGAAAAAGCACCGGCUAACUACGUGCCAGCAGCCGCCGUAA
rnacentral:rRNA from 1 species